rnacentral:rRNA from 1 species
UGGGGAAUUUUGGACAAUGGGGGAAACCCUGAUCCAGCCAUCCCGCGUGUGCGAUGAAGGCCUUCGGGUUGUAAAGCACUUUUGGCAGGAAAGAAACGUCAUGGGUUAAUACCCCGUGAAACUGACGGUACCUGCAGAAUAAGCACCGGCUAACUACGUGCCAGCAGCCGCGGUAAUACGUAGGGUGCAAGCGUUAAUCGGAAUUACUGGGCGUAAAGCGUGCGCAGGCGGUUCGGAAAGAAAGAUGUGAAAUCCCAGAGCUCAACUUUGGAACUGCUUUUUUAGCUACCGGGCUAGAGUGUGUCAGAGGGAGGUGGAAUUCCGCGUGUAGCAGUGAAAUGCGUAGAUAUGCGGAGGAACACCGAUGGCGAAGGCAGCCUCCUUGGAUAACACUGACGCUCAUGCACGAAAGCGUGGGGAGCAAACAGG